UGACGUCACCCAGCUGCUUCAGUUCUGCCACUACAAGCAAAGAAAUGACUUCCGAUUGGGUUGACAUUGUCAUUGUCAUUGUCACUUCACUACCAGUGACACUUGACAAUGUUCCGAAAAACCCAGUGGUACGGCCGGGGUUUGAACCCGCAACCUCCGGUUUGAAAGUCACGCGUCUUAUCACCGAGCUAUACCGGCACUUCAUAGUACAUAGUUACAUACAUUCUGAUAUUAGGUACAUACAUUCAGAUGAUCUUCGCAAAUAAAUAAUGCCCUUGUAGGUACAUGAUCCCAGCCGGCUGCUGCACACCACUGAGCUUUAUUGUCCGUCGGAACAGUAAAAAACUUCUUUUUCGCCGACAAACCAGUGUUGUUUUGGCAUGUUUUGAAAAAACAAUGUUUAAUACGAGGCAUUUCUAGAAACAAAUAUUAUUGAAAACGGGAUGAAAACCAAUCGUUUGACUUGAGUUUUGAAGUUUGUGACACUUGUUAAUUUGUGAUUUUAUUUUUAACGUUUGAAGUUAUGUGACUCGCACUGUUGUCUAUGCUCAAACGUAAAUUAAUUCAACGUUUUUUCCAGUGUAUGAAACAGAUCCGUGACGUCACGAUUCUCACAAAUGACGUUUGUUACAUACGCCCUUUUGUUUCAAGUAACAAUAUAAAUAGAUUUUAUGACCAAAAUAUAGGAC